CUCGCACCUCCCCGCUCGAUGGCGGCGGCUGCUGGAUAGAGCAGCGGUGGUCGGCCCCAGCCGCCAGUGCCGAAGCUGCCGCCUCCACCGAUGGGCGCGCCGUUCCCACCUCGAGAAGCGCCCGGUUCUCGGCCUCGUCAACCACGUCGGCGCCGGCCCGCUUCCCCCGCUCGGUGUCCGGGCACACUCUCCGUGGCUUUCGGUGGCGAGGGAUUAAGUUCCUGCUGAAGACGUCCUGAUGAUGUAAAAGAAUUAUGGAGGGACAUCAUAACAGGCAUUUAAUUGUAUUUUGAAGAACUGUGGUAAGACAUGCAUGCUUUGUGGAGUAUAAUUACUAUGAUGAAUUGGCACAUGCACAUUAAUACUACUGUGAAUAUGAACAUGACUUUAUAUUUUACUACUGUUCUAAAGAUUAUUCACAUGUGUUUUGAAUUUCUGGUUUUUUGUGAUUUGAUAUUGCAAAUUGGCCAGGAAAUUUUGAAUCAUGGAUACAUGAUCCUUUACAUUAACCUAUUGCUCAUGCAAUUUGGGAUCCUCACUUUGGUCAACCCGCUAUAGAAGCCUUUACUUGAGGUGUAUGAUUUGAUUAUUUGAACAACUCUCCUGCUACAUUCAAGUUAAAUUUGAAGUACACAAUUUGCUGUUUCAACUUUGGAAUGGCAUGGCAGUCUCAUGCAUUAUGAAGGGAUGGCCUAAUAAAAAAUCGAUUUAGUGCCAUAUCAGCAGCAUUAAUGAAGUAUGUACAUUGGCUGUAGCUUCACCGUCGGACUUUGACUGUCAAUGCCAUUUGUGAACUACUGAACUAUAAUCACUGCUUUCCUUUUGUAAUGAAGCUGGUUGAGAUCCAGAUGCUCAUGAUGAAAAGCACAGCAUGGGAUGGUGUGCCCUGUUCAAGGGCAGCAUGAUGAGCAGAAUCCAACAGGUGAAAAGAUUCGGUGCCAUGGUGUCCCUCACAUGCAGCUUCGGCGAAGCUUCAGCCAAUCCAAUCACAAAGUAAACAAAUUAAGCCCAAGUACACAGUACAGGUUUUGUAACCAGGGGCAAUAAGCUAGAGGCAGCAACUGCAUAACUUGCGAGAAACUUGUAAGAUUUUUCUACAAUCUAUGGAAACCAAAAUAAAUUAGAUCUUUACACAUGGUCAAUUGUCAUGAGAUCUUUUCAAAGAUAAAUUAGAUCCAUGCAUUGCCAUCUCUUCUUGGCUCGUCAUAAUAUUUUGUCAUUCUUGUCAAACUAGGAAACCAAGAGAAUUAUUAGCAGAAAAUAUUUUAAAUAACAAACAAAAUUGCGAUGCCAAUUCUAUCCAUGAUUCAUUUCCCCCCUAAAUUUUGAUUAUCUCUUGAGGUACUUAGUCAUUUCACUGUUUGAAAGUCAGGAUAUCUGCAUCUUGUUGAGCUAACCUUGCAGAUUAAAAUAUGAUCCUAGCUUUGUGGAAUGUGGUGUGUAUUACUGUGUGUUCAAUUUACAAGCUUGUUUAUGUUUACUAAAUAAUGCAUGUCCUGAUUAGUAGAGUUCUGUAAUGACAUUCAAGUUAGACCACAUUUGCCAGAACUUUCACUGAUAAGAAGAAAUAUAAGGUACAAUAGGAUGAACUUACUCAUGGCGCGAUAUGACAUGUGGGAAUUGGUACACGGAUGAGCCAUGAGGUCUACUGGAAAUUUUGUAUAUAGUCAGAAUUCAAUUUGAUAUAGCACCGCUGGCAUUAGCAAAUGACUUCCAAGGAAUAUUUGGGUAAUCAUGGCACUAAUACUGUAAGUGAACACUUGUACCAGUGCUUAAUAUCCUUAAUUAAUCAACGUCCAAUACUGAAAGAGUUGCCAUAAUUCGGGAGCAAGAUUUUCACCUAACAUAAGUUCAGCUAUUUCCCUAUGGUACCCUUAAAGUCUAAAUGGUAUAAAUAGUUUACAUUUGGAACAAAUUGUUAGAAAGUGUGUCAUGCUGUUCAAAAAAGGUACAACCUAGAAAGAAUU